rnacentral:rRNA from 1 species
GAGAGUUUGAUCCUGGCUCAGGAUGAACGCUAGCUACAGGCUUAACACAUGCAAGUCGAGGGGCAGCAUGGUCUUAGCUUGCUAAGGCCGAUGGCGACCGGCGCACGGGUGAGUAACACGUAUCCAACCUGCCGUCUACUCUUGGACAGCCUUCUGAAAGGAAGAUUAAUACAAGAUGGCAUCAUGAGUCCGCAUGUUCACAUGAUUAAAGGUAUUCCGGUAGACGAUGGGGAUGCGUUCCAUUAGAUAGUAGGCGGGGUAACGGCCCACCUAGUCUUCGAUGGAUAGGGGUUCUGAGAGGAAGGUCCCCCACAUUGGAACUGAGACACGGUCCAAACUCCUACGGGAGGCAGCAGUGAGGAAUAUUGGUCAAUGGGCGAGAGCCUGAACCAGCCAAGUAGCGUGAAGGAUGACUGCCCUAUGGGUUGUAAACUUCUUUUAUAAAGGAAUAAAGUCGGGUAUGGAUACCCGUUUGCAUGUACUUUAUGAAUAAGGAUCGGCUAACUCCGUGCCAGCAGCCGCGGUAAUACGGAGGAUCCGAGCGUUAUCCGGAUUUAUUGGGUUUAAAGGGAGCGUAGAUGGAUGUUUAAGUCAGUUGUGAAAGUUUGCGGCUCAACCGUAAAAUUGCAGUUGAUACUGGAUAUCUUGAGUGCAGUUGAGGCAGGCGGAAUUCGUGGUGUAGCGGUGAAAUGCUUAGAUAUCACGAAGAACUCCGAUUGCGAAGGCAGCCUGCUAAGCUGCAACUGACAUUGAGGCUCGAAAGUGUGGGUAUCAAACAGGAUUAGAUACCCUGGUAGUCCACACGGUAAACGAUGAAUACUCGCUGUUUGCGAUAUACUGCAAGCGGCCAAGCGAAAGCGUUAAGUAUUCCACCUGGGGAGUACGCCGGCAACGGUGAAACUCAAAGGAAUUGACGGGGGCCCGCACAAGCGGAGGAACAUGUGGUUUAAUUCGAUGAUACGCGAGGAACCUUACCCGGGCUUAAAUUGCAGAUGAAUUACGGUGAAAGCCGUAAGCCGCAAGGCAUCUGUGAAGGUGCUGCAUGGUUGUCGUCAGCUCGUGCCGUGAGGUGUCGGCUUAAGUGCCAUAACGAGCGCAACCCUUGUUGUCAGUUACUAACAGGUUCCGCUGAGGACUCUGACAAGACUGCCAUCGUAAGAUGUGAGGAAGGUGGGGAUGACGUCAAAUCGGCACGGCCCUUACGUCCGGGGCUACACACGUGUUACAAUGGGGGGUACAGAGGGCCGCUACCACGCGAGUGGAUGCCAAUCCCCAAAACCUCUCUCAGUUCGGACUGGAGUCUGUAACCCGACUCCACGAAGCUGGAUUCGCUAGUAAUCGCGCAUCAGCCACGGCGCGGUGAAUACGUUCCCGGGCCUUGUACACACCGCCCGUCAAGCCAUGGGAGCCGGGGGUACCUGAAGUGCGUAACCGCGAGGAGCGCCCUAGGGUAAAACUGGUGACUGGGGCUAAGUCGUAACAAGGUAGCCG